rnacentral:rRNA from 1 species
UGGGGAAUUUUGGACAAUGGGCGAAAGCCUGAUCCAGCAAUGCCGCGUGUGUGAAGAAGGCCUUCGGGUUGUAAAGCACUUUUGUCCGGAAAGAAAUCCUUGGCUCUAAUACAGUCGGGGGAUGACGGUACCGGAAGAAUAAGCACCGGCUAACUACGUGCCAGCAGCCGCGGUAAUACGUAGGGUGCAAGCGUUAAUCGGAAUUACUGGGCGUAAAGCGUGCGCAGGCGGUUUGCUAAGACCGAUGUGAAAUCCCCGGGCUCAACCUGGGAACUGCAUUGGUGACUGGCAGGCUAGAGUAUGGCAGAGGGGGGUAGAAUUCCACGUGUAGCAGUGAAAUGCGUAGAGAUGUGGAGGAAUACCGAUGGCGAAGGCAGCCCCCUGGGCCAAUAUCUGACGUCAUGCACGAAAAGCGUGGGGAGCAAACAGGAUUAGAUACCCUGGUAGUCCACGCCCUAAACGAUGUCAACUAGUUGUUGGGGAUUCAUUUCCUUAGUAACGUAGCUAACGCGUGAAGUUGACCGCCUGGGGAGUACGGUCG